rnacentral:rRNA from 1 species
UACGUAGGGUGCGAGCGUUAAUCGGAAUUACUGGGCGUAAAGCGUGCGCAGGCGGUUCUGAAAGUCAGCUGUGAAAGCCCCGGGCUUAACCCUGGGAAUGGCGGUUGAAACUACAGGACUAGAAUCUGGCAGAGGGGGGGUGGAAUUCCACGUGUAGCAGUGAAAUGCGUAGAUAUCGAGAGGAACACCUGCGGCGAAGGCGGCGUUCUGGACUGUUUCUGACACUGAAAAACGAAAGCCAGGGGAGCAAACGGG